rnacentral:rRNA from 1 species
AGAGUUUGAUCCUGGCUCAGGACGAACGCUGGCGGCGUGCCUAAUACAUGCAAGUCGAGCGGAUCCUUUAAGGGUUAGCGGCGGACGGGUGAGUAACACGUAGGCAACCUGCCUGUAAGAUCGGGAUAACUACCGGAAACGGUAGCUAAGACCGGAUAGCUGGUUUCUCCGCAUGGAGGGAUCAUGAAACACGGGGCAAC